rnacentral:rRNA from 1 species
UACGUAGGCAGCGAGCGUUGUUCGGAGUUACUGGGCGUAAAGGGUGUGUAGGCGGUUUUCUAAGUUUGGUGUGAAAUCUCCCGGCUUAACCGGGAGGGUGCGCCGAAAACUGGGAGACUAGAGUGCGGGAUGGGAGAGUAGAAUUCCUGGUGUAGCGGUGAAAUGCGUAGAUAUCAGGAGGAAUACCGGUGGUGUAGACGGCUCUCUGGACCGCAACUGACGCUGAGACACGAGAGCGUGGGUAGCAAACAGG